UGGGGUGUGCAGUACUUCCACAGGUGCCACGGAUCCGGAGCCUGAUGUUGCUGCUGAAGAGCAGAGCGAUCAAGCUCCCCCAAAGGGACAUCUAGAGGGCCUUACUCAUCAGGUGCACAUGAGUGUUCUGGACGACAUGGUCUCCUUUUCGGCAUGUGCAAGUGUCGGGUGGUGCUUGCCUACAUGGUUUACGGCAAGCUGCAGUUCAGGAUCUCCAGGCCUAAGAAAGUUGGAAGUGCGAAGACGUGAAGAAAAGCGCUAAGCCGUGAAGUGCUACUCAGCAAAGAGUUGUCUGCUCUAUUUACUAUAAUAUUGUAAUAUUGUAAUAGCUAGUAUACCUGGGUUGUAAUAGUCUACUGAAAUUGUAAGACACUAAUCUAGUGUUAUUUGAUGAAUUUCACAUGUUCUCUUAUUUGUUUGGAAUAUUUGAUUAUGAAUGUGAUUUGAUAGUGUG